CCGUUUCUAGAACCUGCCAACCUCGUUAGUUAUUUUUAUCCGAACUUCAGUAACCUCCAAUUUCUUUGCGGCAUGCAGCUCCAAGGCAAUAUUUGAAGAAUGCGACCUUUUUCCGACCCAAUCCACCAUUCACUUCACUGAAUUACACACUGCAUUCAACAACAUCAUAAAAAUCAUUGAAAAAUAUAUUGUUUCGUUGUUGCAACCGGUAUCAAAAUUGUGUAAAUACGCAAAUGGACGCUAAAGCUUAUUUUAAGCAAAUUUAUUUAAUUUGACAAAUCCAACCUAAUUUUAGUGUGUAGAAGUUACGAUAUUCCUUAAAAUACAAUCUAAAUACACAUGGAUUCCAAGAAAAAAUGGGAAUGUUCCACGUGCUCCAAAACUUUCCAGUGAAAAAGUUGGCUCAGGAGGCACAUUGACACACAUGACACCAAUGCCAAAGUGAAAUGUGAGAUUUGUGGCAAAAUUUCGAAAAAUCCAGACACCUUAUCUUCUCAUAUGAGGGGAGUCCACACCAACCGAAAACGCCCCAGUUGUGACACCUGUCACUGGGAAUUUUACUCCUCACAAGAUUUACAGCGCCAUAUUGACGUCUUCCACAGCACGAAGGAACGACCCCCUCGUCCGCCAUGUGCAUUUCCCGGCUGUGAAAAAACCUUCGGAAAUAAAUAUGUAUACUUUCUGCACACGUGAGAACUCACCAUGCCCAGAAUCCGGUCCGAUUUCCGUGCACACUUUGCGGGAAAGAGUUCAAAACGAGGCCUGAAGUUCAGCAACACAUGCCCACCCACACGACCGAAAAAUCGUACACGUGUGCAAAUUGUGCGAGGGGUUUCACCCAGGUGGGAAGCAUGCAACGCCAUGAGAUGACGCACGUUGACAAGUCUUCCCGAGAUGUAGUACACUGUGACGUCUGCCCUCAGACCUUCUUAACUAAGGGUGGUCUAAAAACCCACAUCCGAGUUGUGCAUGAAAAUCAGAGGAAUUAUUCGUGCACAUUUUGUAACAAGAGAUUCUCCAAAUCGUCAAGUUUGAAGGGUCACGUGGAAGUGAAACAUGUCACGAAUAAAGAUCUGUUCCAUUUCUGCGAGAAAUGCGAGUACAAGAGCCACUCGAAACUAUAUUUAGCUCAACACAUGAGGUGUCACAAUAUUAAGAAAAGGCACGAGUGUUACUUUUGCAAGAAACAGUUUGUCAUCUAUAACAGAUUGGUCAGACACUGCAGCAGAUUCACUGUCUCGAGAAAUGAAAGAGUAAAUGUAUGCUUCUAAUUUUAUUCUUGGUUUAUUGUAGUAAUGUUCUAUGUACAUAAAUAUUUAUGUACACAAAAAGUUACAAAUUAAAUUUCAAUUAAAGACAAAAACAAAUUAAAUGAGCCGGCGUAAAAAUAUCCUG